rnacentral:rRNA from 1 species
GUUUGAUCCUGGCUCAGGACCAACGCCUGGCGGCGUGCUUAACACAUGCAAGUCGAACGGUGAUCCAUCAGCUUGCUGGUGGUGAUCAGUGGCGAACGGGUGAGUAACACGUGAGUAACCUGCCCCAGACUCUGGAAUAACCCCGGGAAACCGGGGCUAAUACCGGAUAUGACACCGAUCCGCAUGGGUAUGGUGUGGAAAGUUUUUCGGUCUGGGAUGGACUCGCGGCCUAUCAGCUUGUUGGUGAGGUAGUGGCUCACCAAGGCGACGACGGGUAGCCGGCCUGAGAGGGCGACCGGCCACACUGGGACUGAGACACGGCCCAGACUCCUACGGGAGGCAGCAGUGGGGAAUAUUGCACAAUGGGCGCAAGCCUGAUGCAGCGACGCCGCGUGAGGGAUGACGGCCUUCGGGUUGUAAACCUCUUUCAGCAGGGAAGAAGCGCAAGUGACGGUACCUGCAGAAGAAGCACCGGCUAACUACGUGCCAGCAGCCGCGGUAAUACGUAGGGUGCGAGCGUUGUCCGGAAUUAUUGGGCGUAAAGAGCUUGUAGGCGGUUUGUCGCGUCUGCCGUGAAAAUCCGAGGCUCAACCUCGGACUUGCGGUGGGUACGGGCAGACUAGAGUGUGGUAGGGGAGACUGGAAUUCCUGGUGUAGCGGUGAAAUGCGCAGAUAUCAGGAGGAACACCGAUGGCGAAGGCAGGUCUCUGGGCCACUACUGACGCUGAGAAGCGAAAGCAUGGGGAGCGAACAGGAUUAGAUACCCUGGUAGUCCAUGCCGUAAACGUUGGGAACUAGGUGUGGGUCUCAUUCCACGAGAUCCGUGCCGCAGCUAACGCAUUAAGUUCCCCGCCUGGGGAGUACGGCCGCAAGGCUAAAACUCAAAGGAAUUGACG